rnacentral:lncRNA from 1 species
UUGCUUGAACUUGGCUGUGUCCAUUUCAGCCGGCCAGUCCAGCUCCUCUGGGCGUGCUCUCCUCCGCCACACUGCGGUCCCUCCCAGCUGCGAGCACGCCAGGGAGGACACCCCGACCUCCGCGGCCAGGGCGCUUUCUGGGGUGGAGGCGGCCCAGCAGCACCUGACCUGCCCGAGAUUUCAGACCCUCACUGGGGACAAGCUCGGCGAGCGGUGACCUCUAGAUGGCAGAGAGCGGGAUGAGGAUGAGGCAGCAGGAGCGGGGAGCAGGUGCAGGGUAGGGGGGGCCUGCACUUGGUACUUUCCGCCCCUGCCUUGCGCCAGGAAAACUGCUGCUGUGUGAGGCAGUGUGGACCCCUGUAGGAAUUGCUUAAGGGUUGCAGGUGCAAUUAGAGCUUCGUGGAAGUGGGGAGCGUUGCUAUGGGGACAAAUACAUCCCAUGCACAACCAAGUAUUCGGCCAACACAGAUUUCCCGAACCCCUGACAUAGGCCAGGUGCUCUUCACACCACAGGUGCGGAGGUGACGCAGGACAGAGCCAGCCUCUGUCCCCACACAACUUGUUCCUGAAAGGGGCAGAGUCACACAGUGAAAGGGGGCGAAGUGUCGCGACACCCACGUCCCACUUUAAAGUGCCCGGAGUUUUGGGGCCGGCGCCGUGGCUCACUUAGUUGAUCCUCCGCCUGCGGCGCCAGCAUCCCAUAUCGACACCGGGCUCUAGUCCCGGUUGCUCCUCUUCCAGUCCAGCUCUCUGCUGUGGUCUGGGAGUGCAGUGGAGGAUGGCUCAAGUGCUUGGGCUCUGCACCUCAUGGGAGACCAGGAGGAAGCACCUGGCUCCUGGCUUCAGAUUGGUGCAGCGUGCUGACUGUAGCAGCCAUUUGGGGGGGUGAACCAACGGGAGAAGGGCCUUUUCUCUCUGUCUCUCUCUCUCUCUCACUGUCUGUAACUCUACCUGUCAAAUAAUAAAAAAAAAAAAGUGCUCGGGUUCCCGGGUUCAAGUCCUGGCUCUGGCUCCUGACCCCAGCUUCCUGCUGCUUCAGACCCUGGGAGGCAGCGAUGAUGCCACCCAUGUGGGAGACCCGGAUGCAGUUCCCGGCUCUUGGCUUCAGCUCCAGCCCAGCCCUGGCUGCUGUCGGCAUUUGAGGAGCAAACCAGCAGAUGGGAGCUUCCUCUGUCUUUGUCUACCUGGCUCUGAAAUAAAGUUUGUUUUUUUUUUUUUUAAUAGAGAAAAGGAGGAGUUGAGAACGAGCAGCAGUCAGGAGUCAGCUGGGAGCUCGUGGGCCCAGGGGACCUCUGUGCUGGAGCCCCCAUUUCCAUGAUGACGAGGACAGUGACUAUCACCAGGAGUCAUACAAGGAGUCCUACAAAGACUGGCGGCAGCGAGCACACAUACAGACUGAGCAGAAGAGGAGGGACGCCAAAUAAUAAAAAAAUGAUCGUGGUGAUUCGGUGAGACA